rnacentral:rRNA from 1 species
UACGUAGGGGGCAAGCGUUGUCCGGAAUCAUUGGGCGUAAAGCGCGUGUAGGCGGCCCGGUAAGUCCGCUGUGAAAGUCGGGGGCUCAACCCUCGAAUGCCGGUGGAUACUGUCGGGCUAGAGUGCGGAAGAGGCGAGUGGAAUUCCUGGUGUAGCGGUGAAAUGCGCAGAUAUCAGGAGGAACACCAAUUGCGAAGGCAGCUCGCUGGGACGUUACUGACGCUGAGACGCGAAAGCUAGGGAGGCGAAAGGG